GUUAGCUGAAGUAAUAGCCUAUUCAAGUGGAACUACCUUAAGAGAAUGCCUUGACUGAAACCCACAAAAAAGAACUAGUUCCUUCACUGCUCUGCAGGGGGAUGGAGCAGACAGCUGGAAAACCUCAGAAGCAAAAUUAAAGAACCAGGAAUUUGUGGUGGGAUAUACAAAGUCAAGCAAUUCACAGUAAGCUUUGGGUUAGAGGAAAAGAAAAAAAAAAAAAAAAAAAAAAAAAAAAAAAAAAAAAAAAAAAGGAGAAAUGCAGGAUUUUAUAGAUGAGGUUUUGAUUAACAGUGGGACUAACCAAGCUCAAAAGAAGUUAGUCUGGAUGCAGUUCAGAAGCACCACAGUCGCACUUAGCCAACUGGUCAGAUUGAUAGGCAGCUCCAGGGAGUGAUUCAGCCCAACUAAGAUCUGAUUCACCCUCUGGAAGUGCCAAGCUUUUGAUUUAAAUCUUAGGUACAACUGACUCACUUCCCUGAAGGUGCCUUUCUCCAAAGGCUGUAGAGGACCCACAGCACAUCAGGGGCUAAAAUCCAGCUGGAAGAACUGGGUCUGGCCAUGACUGUUUCAUUGCCACCUGCCUGCCCUGAAGAGCUUAGUGAGAAGCCAUGUCACCCACGUGAUGGGACUCUGGGAAAGGAUAUGCAUAGGCGCCAAACAAGAGAAAAUGGUUCUUUUCCAUGAGAACCAGAUGGAGCCUGCGGCACACUUGUCCUCAAGAAACCAGAGCAAGGAGGGGAAGGUGCCCAGAAUCCACAUCACCUGGGACUGGAGAUUCAAAUUUUCCUCUGCCUUGUUCGUCUGUCUGGCUACAUCUAAAGUCCAGCCACAGUGCUUGCUUCCAAGAUCAGUAAAGCUGGGACAUCUCUUGUGAUCUGCUUCACAGAACAUCAGAUUCUUCCCUCUUCUGCUCACCUGGACAUAAUGCUCUUAUAGCUAGCAAAAGGAAUGAAAAUUAAGUGGAUUUAAAGAAGGAUGAGCUACACACAAGUAGACAUAACUUCAGGAGAAAAAAGGAAAAGACUAAAAGUUAUGAUGAAAACAGUACAAUGACAGUUUGCCAUCUAAGAGAAAGCAAAAGGGUAUCCAUCUGUGUCAUGGAAAUGGAAGAACUUCCCUCAGCUCCUCCUAUACCCUUCCUGGAGUACAGCUGUCUGGGCCAGGAAGAAUUUUGAUAAAGCAGCUGUCUGGUUUUGAAGUUUUGAGAGAGAUGUUUGAGAAGAUUUUGUGGGGGCCUGCCAUGACCCACUGACAUUUCCUUUGUAUCUAGAACCUUACAGGCUUAGAGGAUAUACAUCCCCCUUCUCCAAUAAAAUGAAAUAAAUGUUUAAUUAAUGUUUCA
rnacentral:lncRNA from 1 species